GACGUAGGGUGCAAGCGUUAUCCGGAUUUACUGGGCGUAAAGGGCGCGUAGGCGGUCGAUUAAGUGAGAAGUGAAAUCUUUGGGCUCAACCCAGAAACUGCUUCUCAUACUGGUCGACUAGAGGAAUGUAGAGGUAAAUGGAAUUCCUGGUGUAGCGGUGACAUGCAUUGAUAUCAGGAGGAACACCUAAGGCGAAGGCAGUUUACUGGACAUUUCCUGACGCUGAGGCGCGAAAGCGUGGGUAGCAAACAGG
rnacentral:rRNA from 1 species